rnacentral:lncRNA from 1 species
AAAAAGACACUAAUCUUGACCAUCUUUUAUGUCAUCCUUCAUGCUUCUCAUCAUGUAAUCCAUUCGAAGAAUCAUUAUAGCCACUUUAGUUGCAAACUGUCGCGCACACGCACACUUUUUUUUUCUUCCCAAAUUAGCUUUUUACUACUGCUUAAAAUCUAAACAGAUAUUUGAAGUUAGACUGCACAAUCAUCUUAAAAUGAUGUUUAAACUUAAAAGAAUAAAAAAUCAUGUUUGUCAUCCAUUUUUCUACAAAUAAUUUGUUUCCGGAUGAUUAAUAAUAUGUAAGGGCCACAACUAAGAUGCACUGUUUCUAAUUUGAACCUCUAAAUGCAUUUUUUUCUAAUUAAAAAGUUACAAUUAAAAGAUAACAAUGGGAAAGGGGUCAACAAAGAUCCAUUUUUUCAAAAAAAAAUAUUGAAGUGAGAAUCAACGGAAACGUAGAGUGUUUUGAUUCAAUUGUUUGGUUUCUAGAAAUAGAAAAACAGAGCUUUGACAAAAAAAAAAAAAAAAAAAAAAAAAAAAAGCAAAAUAGGCUAUUUUUUAUUAUAAAUAAUUUCAAAACAUAUGUCUAGAAAAAAGUUUACCAUUUGCAAUCCCAAAAUAACUAUGGAGCUUUACCUUCAAAAUGCCAAUGAUCUCAAAUAUGCCCAGAUAAAUCUCCUUUCUUCUCCUCGUCAUUCGUGACAUAAAUUGAUCAAAAGGCAUGAAAAAAAACUUAAAAGAAAAUAUUCUAUCUACACAACAUGGAACUGCAGUUUAGUUAUAUAUUUAAACUUAAUGAAUGAUUCAACGGAUGCCCUAAAAACAUUUUGUUUUUUUAUCUACUGUAAUAAAUAAAGAUAAUUUUGCCACAUGUCAAUCUGUAAUAAGUUUUGAUCUUUAUCAUUUUGUGAUAUUUUUAAUAUCCACAGGUCAAUUUAUGGUUUUAUUCAAUUUUUAAAAUUAAAAAGCCACAUAAUCUUAUAUUUAUAUAUGUAAAAUAUCAAAUGUAAUAAAUCUCUCUACCUAAUAAAACACUAUACUAAAUGCCACUUGUCCAACUAUUAGCACAACAUGUUGCCACGUGUCAUUACUCCAGAAUUCUACAUCUUCAUUUCCCGCCCAUAUAAUCCCAAGAGAAGAGAUUUCCUUCACAUUCAAAACCCUACAUAUUAGCAUAAUUAUCAGCAUCAACAUAAAUCAACAUAAUUAAGAAAAAAAAUCGCUGGAGUUUAUACGCAUAAAAAUAGGAAGAGAAUAUGAAAAAAUUAUAAAUGCAGAGUUCGUUAUUUUAUGUGAUUUAUAUCCUAAAAUAUAUAUCCUAAAUAUCUUAAACAUCCUUAAUUACCGGAAUUUGAAUCAAUUUGAAUCAAUUCAAAAUAUUUGAUACUGAUUCCUGAUUUAUAGGCUAAAUUAUAUACAUCAACUAUCGGUAAUCGGUAAUAUCAUCAUCUUAAUAUUAACGCUUUCCACAGAAUUCGACAGAACUGCACUUUCAUUCACAGAAGUUUCUGUCACAAAAAACCAAAAUCAUCAGGUUAGCAUAUCAUCAUCAAUUAUCAGUGUUCAUUCUUUUGAUUUUUUAAUUUGAAAUCCUUCUUCUUCUACUUCUUCUUCAAUCCGAUUAUUACAUGUAAGCAAACAACCUGUAUUGCUAAACAGAGAAUCAAUCAAAACUUUUAAGUAAUCCGCCAAGAAGGAUAGUCCCAAAUAUCUGCAUCAUAAUAAUUGUUCUUUUCAUUGAUUGAUACUGGUAAACAUAUAUUCAAUCAAAACUUUUAAAUAAUAUCAGUAUAAUUUAUAUCAUAAAUAAUAAGUGUUCUUUUCAUUGAUUGAUACUGCUAUCAUAUAUAUUUUUUUAAAUCCGACUUACUAUCCCUGUUUGAAUAUUCUGUGAACCCCAUAUCUAUUGUCCAAUUUAUUUUCAUGCAUGUGUACUAUGUCUACAUCAUACUGCAUGUUCAAUAGGAUUGUACAAUCAAUAUGUNACCUAUGUAUAUUGACUCAAAUACAAAUGAAAAAAAGGAU